AGGAAAAGAAACCAACAGGGAUUGCCUCAGUAACGGCGAGUGAAGCGGCAAAAGCUCAAAUUUGAAAUCUAGCACCUUCGGUGUUCGAGUUGUAAUUUGAAGAUGGUAACCUUGGGUUUGGCUCUUGUCUAUGUUCCUUGGAACAGGACGUCAUAGAGGGUGAGAAUCCCGUCUGAUGAGAUGCCCAUUCCUAUGUAAGGUGCUAUCGAAGAGUCGAGUUGUUUGGGAAUGCAGCUCUAAGUGGGUGGUAAAUUCCAUCUAAAGCUAAAUAUUGGCGAGAGACCGAUAGCGAACAAGUACAGUGAUGGAAAGAUGAAAAGAACUUUGAAAAGAGAGUGAAAAAGUACGUGAAAUUGUUGAAAGGGAAGGGCAUUAGAUCAGACUUGGUGUUUUACGAUUAUCUUCUCUUCUUGAGUUGUGCACUCGUAUUUCACUGGGCCAGCAUCGAUUCGGAUGGCAAGAUAAUGGCAGUUGAAUGUGGCUUCACUUCGGUGGAGUGUUAUAGCUUCUGCUGAUAUUGCCUGUCUGGAUCGAGGGCUGCGUCUUUUGACUAGGAUGCUGGCGUAAUGAUCUAAUGCCGCCCG
rnacentral:rRNA from 1 species